rnacentral:rRNA from 1 species
UACGUAGGGGGCGAGCGUUGUCCGGAUUCAUUUGGGCGUAAAGCGCUUUAAGGCGGUUUGCUAAGUCGGGUGUGAAACCUCCAGGCUCAACCUGGAGACGCCACUCGAUACUGGCGUGACUAGAGUCCGGAUAGGGGACCACGGAAUUCCUGGUGUGAGCGGUGAAAUGACGCAGAUAUCGAGGAGGAACACCAGUGGCGAAGGCGGUGGUCUGGGCCGGAACUGACGCUGUAGAGCGAAAGCGUGGGGAGCGAACAGG